UCCCCAAUCCCUUAGCCCCUUUUUAGCUUAGAAUUACUAAAGCUUUGAUCUUGGGCAGACUGUUAUUGUUGAUUCAUCACUUGAUAUGGGGAGUCUAAUUGCAUUUGAGAGGGAUUUGGGAAAGAAUGUAGCUACUGGAAUAACUCUUCUUGUUAUGAGUUAUGUUUCUAAGUUUCAUUUAGAGCUGCCAUGAUUCUAAGUUCUUGGUCCUCUACUGUGCUAGCUCUAUAUGAUGCAAGGUUAUUAGGUGUUGAGGUUGUUGGGAUUACCUUAACGUAGUUGAAUACUCCUCAGUGGUGGCUGUCCUUGCCGUCACUGCUCGCUGCCCUCUCCCUCCUCCCUCGCUGCUCUUCGCGCUAGGCGUUGCAGAAUUUGUGGUGAUGGAAUGUGGUGGUGGAGGAGGUGAAGAGAGGUUGCUUAUAUGGUGCUAAGCUAUUGAAAGCUAGGUACAUGGAGGCAUUCUUGGAGCUUGUGGAGGGAAGCAAAAAUCGAGAAGGAUGGGGGAAGAAGAAGAAGAGAUCCUAUCCCCACUAUGCUUGCAUUCUCAUUCUUACUUCUAGCUUGGAGCCAAAGACUUAGGUCUUGAGACCAUUAGGAUAGUAGUAGCUUGUCAUUAUUCAUUCUUGUACCAAAUAAAGAUGUAUAUACUUAAAUACUUUAUUCUCAUGCAUUUCUAUUUCUCCAAACAUUUUCACAUUUCUCUAGUGAAAGUAUUUCCUCCA